UUCUACAAAGAAUCUAAUUCAAGUAUUUUCUCUACUAAGAAUACCACUAUAUAAAUGAUGAAAUUUUCCACUAACUCAAGUGCCUCUUAACACUUCUAACUCAAUAGUUUCUUUAAAAAAAAAGUUUAAAAUAUGUUCAAAACAUUACUUUUAGGAUUAUUUUUCUUGAUCUCCGUUCUCACUUUUUCAGCUCAUGAGAUCACAGCCACAUCACAAAUUGAAGGUUUAAGUACUUCAAAGCAACAAAGGACUCAAAGAACAACUGUGGGAUAUUUGCAUGUUGUUCAACAUGGAAAGGUGUCAAAGAAAUCAAAGACAGUUUAUGGGGGAGCCAAUAAUGUGAAGAGUCAUAAGGGAAAAAGUAGUGCAAACACUAAUUUGAUCAAAUCUUCAUCCUUGUUUAUGGUUGUAUUAAGUCAUCUAAUUCCAGCAAUGAUUCUGGUUGGUGGUUUCUUUUGAAUUUCAAUAUGUUUCAAGAUAGAGGCUUGCAUGAUUUGUCAAGAGUGUGCUUUUGAUUUGUCUCAUACAAAGACACAUAUAUAAUCAAAUAAGUUUUCUUUAUUGAAAUGGUCUUAUUAAUUUAGUGUUACAAAUAUGUGUUUGGUUCUACAAUUAAAAAUAAUAAUUUUGAGUAAAUUGAUUUUCAUUAAAAAUGACUUAAAUAUAAAAUGAUUUGUAUUUGAAUAAAUAUUUGUAAAAUUGAGUUGAAUAAUCAAUUUUAAAUUUAAAAA
rnacentral:lncRNA from 1 species